UUGUGAGGAGCACCGGUCUGUUGUCCUCCUGUUCGUGCACCUCCGGAACAGGACAAAACCGAGGUGAGCCGCCUCUGAUCCGUCGUUUGAGGCGCCCAUCGGCUCCCUCCCUGCCAAAUCCCACCUCCUAGACUCGCCACUACCACCACCUCCUGGACUCGCCGCUGUUGCCGCCGCCGCCGCCGUAUGGAGUUGCCGCUGCUGCCUGGACUCGACCAUCACCGUCCCCAAGUGCCACAACCUCUCCUCCCAACGUCAAGCAAGCUGGACCAGGGAUUGCCAAACCAUAAUGCUAUUGGAAGCUAGCAUUGCAGAUUGGUUGCAAUGACAUGGAUCUGAUCUGGAACUCUGGAUGACACCCCUCAGUUUUCUUGCCAUUCGGUAGACGAUGUUCGCGCAUAGAUAAUAUUUGGCCCUUAACCUGGCAGCUUGCCACUGAUGGUUAUAGCCAUGUACUAUUGAAAUACUAUUAGGAUCUUCUUUGUGAGGUAGUGUGGAAAAUAUCUGUUAGGCACGUACUCAUGUUUUCCUUGACACAUUGUCAAAUGGACAUGACCUGUGAAGAGCUGGGAGGGUUGUUUUAGACUUGCCCUAAGAUUCUGAAAUUUUAGACUUUAAUCUGGAAGGCAAGUGUUCCAGAAAAUAAAUCUGUUGGUUUGAUUAGUUUCGUCAAGUGAUUAUUUGCAUCUUCCUUUCUUUGCUUCACAUGACAAAGAUUUCCUCGGCAAGAAAUCAAAUGGGUGAGACCAGCGCCAUCCUCUCUGCCCGACUUGCUGCCAUUCGUUGGAUGAUUUUGGCAACAUGUUCAGAGUUAAUCAAUUGAAUCA